CACUCAGCUCUACAGGCUACAUCACUUCAACUCUAAAAUGAUACCAGGACCAUAACAGGUUUGUUUACUCAACCCUCGUCUAGACUCACUUAAAUGAGUGUAUCUCCAACGUUAGUCGCGUGGUGUUUGUACCAGACAAUCAGUCAACUUUCUUACCUAACGCCGUUCAAAUCCAGAAUUAUGACUUUGUGUGUGGCAACCACAAGUACGUAACACCUGUGCCAGUUCAAGUUUUUAAAUGAAAAUAAACUCCGGUUAUCUCCCUCUGAGGCUAACCCACGCCACCAAUGUUCCAACACUUGCUUCCCCUACGUUAGGACAACGAAAUCACGAAGGGCAGCACUUCCUCCAGUGACGUAUACUUCCCCUCCCACCGAUGCUUCCUGUCUCGUCAGUACAACUUCCUCCUUUACGAAUACCAAUGCUGGUUCCUGUCUCGUCAGUCCAUCUUCCUCCUUUACGAAUACCAAUACUUGGUCCCGUCUCAUCAGUCCAUCUUCCUCGUUUACGGCUACCACUAAUGUUACCGCUCCACCUACGACUGCUCCAUCUACCCGUGUACGUCUUGGUCUACCUUCUUCUUCUGUGGCUACAACUUUCCCCAGUACGGCUACUAAGACUGCUCAGUCUACUUCUUCUUUUACGUCUCCUCCAGGGCUUAGGACGUACCACCUUAGUACUGAAUAGUAGACGUUACUGGCACUUACUACCUGUACUAAGUCGGACCGUUAUAGUGGUCUUGUUAUAACGCUGCCCACGAUACAUAGGCUUGUUCGUUCGGGACUUCCUACGUUAUUAAUUAACCCGUUACAGGUGCGUUUCCCAAAAGUUUCGACUCCACAGGUCAGUCUUUAAGGAGUGUUACCAUACGUUCUUACGUCUAACAGGGCGUUCCCACGUGCCGAAAGAGGGAUUCAUACCGUGUUCAACCCACUAUUCACUGAAUUAAUUAGUGUGAACAGAAUAAGGGACGUAGGGAGUUCUAGUACGGUUGGAAAGUAGGUGCGAAUAACGAGCUGACAAAAUGCUACUCUAUCACGUUCCGUUUCGAUACCUUACAGCCCUAACACCAACGACUUACCCCUGUAACUAUUCCCAGUAGCACCACGCUAUACCAUACUCGCGUUCGAACUCGGAGAGCAGUGAGCGUGAGGAUUCCUUUUGACCUUCUAUGUGAGUCCUACCAAAGUCGCCAUGCACGAAAUAAUUAAACGUGUGACGGUACGUAUAAUUACCAACUUUACCCUCUGUCAUUGACUUUUCAAGAGACUACUUCCAACUUUACCCGGCCGGAAAAUGGAAAGCGCGCAGACCAACUCAGAUAGGGCCCACUCUUUACGCAGCGGUAGCUACCCAGAAACGACUCGACGAAUCACCUGGCAACCUCCGGUCUCUGGGUGUGCAAAGUGAAGUCUACCCCUCUCUACCGAGGAUGAGACCUCCUACACAGUGAAAACGAGCCUGAUGGCAACCGUCCAGUACGGCAUCCUGGCAACCUGCGUGGCCGACCAACCCUCGCUCGAGAAUGUCUUGCAAAAGUGCCACAAAAAGGCCUACGAGGGCUAGGCCAUACCCUCGUAGUGCCUGGAUUCAUACUCACCAACGAUUUAAAAGCCUAGGUCUUGAAGGCCCGCGGGAACUGACGCCUUGUCUAGUGAGCCUCGGAGCUCCGGAUGAAUGACACCGAAAAGCCGUUCCACUACAAGUGCCUCUUGGUACAGUGGUGAUAAUCGCGGGAGAUGUAGGGAUACCGUGAGCUCUAUCGCUCGCGAGUCUGCCGCCUAGUCUAGUCUGUCUCCUCAACCCCAAGCCGCCACAAUCGCCGAUGUAUGGCUCCAUACACGUUGCCAACGGUCGAAUGUAGCUCUUUCGGUUGGGAAGAACCUACGGGAGAUAAGGAUGUCGACACCAGCACCCUCUCCAAGAGAUAUCCCGCUGGUCUACAUGCCCAAGUACUCGGAUAUCUGCGGUACAAACUACAACUCCCGUAGCUGUACGGAUGAAAGCCAGACACAACCUGAGCAGCGUUCUCUGCGAAACGAUCACUAGUCUGGUCCUUCCGCAUGUGUCGUAACUUGCUCGUCAAGCUACGCAUGUGGCCCCAGUAGACCGUCGGGAUGUGCCUUCGUCGGUAUGUUCGCUCUAUGGGACGACCAUACAGACACGAUACGUGUUCCCUAGCUCUAAUGACCUACUGUUUUAGCUUCUAGUAGAAGCUACAGAAGCAGCUCCUCUACCGUGUUGUCUCCUAAUACUCCGUUAAACCAGAAGACGUCAACCUCGAUGGAGGGGGAUAUCUCUUGGGCCACGGUCGUGUGUAGGUGUCCUGCUGUUCCUUCCCGUACUUGUCCUGUUGACGACUGACCGAUCAAUCUGAUCUCGGCAUACAAUAUCUUACCCUCUGUCGUUUGUGUUUAGAUACCGUGCUCUUAGUGUUAAAGCUAGAGCUACUUAAGUUAGAGAUAAACGCCGCGAUGUACUGGCCAUGUGUCAAUGCGUAACAACUCAUGAGGGUGGGUCUCCUCAAUAGCCUAGGAUGAGGCAGCCUAUACAUGGGCUCGAUACUAUGAAGCCCAAGAUCCGUCAUGUGCCGAUGGAACUGUGCGCUUGACAUGCUGCUGCACUGGUGGAAACCUGCUAGUGAUAGCAGACCUGGAGAAGAAGUUGUAGCAGGUCACCAUGUUGGGAAGAACCUUUCUUAAGUCUUAUUCUAUGCCUGACACAUGCUCCGAUAGUGCACGUGGGCCUCUUGGCUACAACAAGUCGUGCUCGUCCUCGUCGGCGCAGUGAGGUACGUUGCUGUAGUUGGUGCAGGUGCGGAUCGUGUCGUCGGCUGUUGGUCCGGUAGGGCAGGACUGGUUGGACCGUCAAGAUGCACCGUGGGCGUCGUGAUACCAGGGUGCAGCUCGAAGUACAAAAGAGGUGUCGGUGUCGUUGUGCCAGGGAGCAGCUCGAAGCACAAAAGAGGUGUCGGUGUCGUCGUGCCAGGGAGCAGGUCAAAGCACAAAGUCGGUCUCGUCUGCAGUGUGGGUCGUCCCCGGAUACCUAUAGUCCGCAGAUACAGCCGUAGUGUACUAUGCACCCCCUCACUAGUUGUAGAGCUCCUGUUGUAUGUCCGAGUCUACAGCGUCGUGUGGGUCACCUACUUGUACAAAAGCUGAGGAGGUGGUCCGGGGUGUGUCCUAUGUGUCGUACUGGUCCCUCUCAGACUCUAAGGAGGAGCAGUGCAAUCCCGUGGGCUGUCUAACCCUACCAGGGGCUAAGGUCUAGGCGGAGGGGCGGUCCGGUCUGCAGCAGUGACUGCGAAGAUACAUAGACAUAGUCAUCUCUGUAAUGGUAGAUAAAAACACAUUCUGAAUACAGAUAAGAUACAUACUCUGUUUACUGAUACAUGAAUACAUGCUCUGUAUACGGAUGAGAUAAAAUCAUGAG
rnacentral:rRNA from 1 species